ensembl:snRNA U1 U1 spliceosomal RNA
AUACUUACCCAGUAGGGGAAAUACCAUGAUCACGAAGGUAGUUUUCCCGGGGCGAGGCUUAUCCAUUGCACUCCAGAGGUGCUGACCCCUGCAAUUUCUCCAAAUGUGGGAAAUUCCGCUGCAUAAUUUGUGGUAGUGGGGGAUUGAGUUCGUGCUUUCCCUGA